AGAGUUUGAUUAUGGCUCAGGAUGAACGCUGGCGGCGUGCUUAACACAUGCAAGUCGAACGGAGUUUUAACGGAAGUUUCGGAUGGAAGUUUAGAAACUUAGUGGCGGACGGGUGAGUAACGCGUGGGUAACCUGCCUCAUACAGGGGGAUAACAGUUAGAAAUGACUGCUAACACCGCAUAAUAUAGCGAAACCGCAUGAUUUUGCUAUCAAAUAUUUAUAGGUAUGAGAUGGGCCCGCGUCUGAUUAGCUAGUUGGUGGGGUAAAAGCCUACCAAGGCGACGAUCAGUAGCCGGCUUGAGAGAGUGACCGGCCACAUUGGGACUGAGACACGGCCCAAACUCCUACGGGAGGCAGCAGUGGGGAAUAUUGGACAAUGGGGGAAACCCUGAUCCAGCGAACCGCCGCGUGAGUGAAGAAGUAUUUCGGUAUGUAAAGCUCUAUCAGCAGGGAAGAUAAUGACAGUACCUGACUAAGAAGCCCCGGCUAACUACGUGCCAGCCGCUGC
rnacentral:rRNA from 1 species